CAAGAUAUAUCUUGAUUUCCAUGCAAAUGGAUCACUUUAUGAGGAGAAAAUUGUCUUGAAUAUAGGUGACAGUGCAGACUAGGUCCCUCGCUUGGCUCCAAGCAAUGGAUCUUUGCUAUACCAGGUACAGGCUUUGCCUCUAGAAAGCAAUUAUCAAGCCCAAGUUUGAUGCUAGCUUUGAUUAUAUCUGCCUUGAGGAAAAGAUGAGUAGAGAUGGCAGUACACAAUGCAUUAGCAACUUUGGCAGAUUCCUCAGCAUUCCCCACUGUUGGCACUUGUCUAGGUGACACUGCUGUCCACACGACCCUUUUGACAGUCCCUCCUAAUCCAUCGACUACCCCUUUUCCAUGCGAUGAUGCGAAAAAAUGCCAAUUGAUCUUGACGCCGUUUUGUUGCAGUGUUUGGUAAAAGUUUGCCAUGUACCUGUUUUUAAAUUGGGAGCUGGGACCAUCUGAAAAGAUAUCAACACUUGCAACAUGUGGGAACAUCUCUUUGACCAAAGUAUUAAUAGUAUAGUCCAUGAAGACUGCUAUUGAUUGCUUGUCAUGGUUGUGGUCAUCGGUGACUAUAACAUGGGAGUUACAGGUUGUGUCAGUGUUGGCUGAAUCUUUUGCCCAUAUGGCUACUGUGAACAAUGUCACCUGUUCUUGGCACCAAUGCGCUGAUUGGCUUUCAUCCUGGUGCUGGCAUGUGUAAUUUUCUGAGAAAUCUACUUGUACAACUGCUUCAUUUUCAUUUAAGUUGGCAAUACUGUCUUCAAAAAAGGCUGAUUGCUUCCUCUUGAUGAACACAUGCUCUAAAAAGCUAGGGAUUUUCUUACUCAGACAAUCUAGAGCCUCUUAUACAGUUCCCUCCUUGAUUGUUUUCUGCAUUUUUGUUACAGUUUUAGGCUUGCCCUGUUUUGUGUCUAUAGUGUUAGUAACCCUUUCCCAUUGACUCCACUUUACAACAUCAUCUAAAGGGGCAUCUUCUUUAAUGCCAUCCAGCCAGUUGGGACAGUCGACACAUUUCCCCAUCAUGCAAUCCUCUUUGCCACUGUCACAAACAAAUUGGUCGACAAAUGAUCCAGAAUAUGCUGGAAAGCUGGAAAGCUCCUUACUGAGGCAAUCACAAAGACACAUUCUCAUGGUGCAUGCAAAGACAGACUUCUCUUGGCAUUGAGGACUGCAGCAAAACAUUAACUGGCCGCAGUGAGCUAAAUUUACUGAGACCUAUCUUUAUACUAGGAUGCUCUUUCUGAAACAAUCCAAAUGUUUCUUUUAAAGACAAUAUCAAAUUUCUCUUUUGAAGUUUGGAUUUCUUGCCAUCCUUUCUGACGAUUACAAAUUCACAUCGUCCUGGGGCCUGACGGGAGAUUUAGUCCAGAAAAUAGAACUUCUUUACGCUUUUAACUGUAAAUUUAUCGAUUUUGUUGUUGCCUGAACUGCAUGAUUUCUGCUCUUUCGGUGACAAACCAGCAGAUUAUCCAGGUUUUUAAACAACUGCACUUCUUUUUCUAGGGCUGUGUGGGAGAUGUGGUGUCACCUUGUGAACUGCUUUUCCUAAUGCUUGGGGGUCUUGUAAGCAGCCUUGAUGUCAUUUACAUUAUGCUGAACUGGAGUAGAAAUUCCUUUGGCAGCUUGCCUUUUCAAUAAUCGAUGUAACCUCACUCUCUUUCUGCCUUUGAGUCCACUGGAGGCCAAAAGGCAGAGAAUCAAAGUCUUUUUUCGACUCUCGCAUUACCUUUGCCUAUCUUUAGCUUUAUACGCUGCAGAUUUAGCUGGAUUUGCUCUAUUUUUUUCCUGUACUUUCGGUUUCUUUCUGCUUCACUAAGGAAUUUUUUUAAUGGAUUCAUUUUGAGUGAACAAACAUGUGCUUAAGCAAUGGCAUCCAAAAUAGUCUGGUCAGGAGUAUUCCCCUGAGUACCAUGCUCAGGUGCAUGAGCAAAAGGUCAGAACUGCUGAACACAAAUGUGGCUGUCAUUUAUGAUAACUAAAUGCUCCAAUUGUAUCACAUAUUCUUUAGCUAAAGCUGUAAAAGUAAACAGAUCGCCAAAUUUUGGUUAAAACUCACAUGCUUUCACGUCCGUGACAUUCAUUGUAACGUCCGUGACAACACUUAACAAAAGCUGCUGAAUUAGUGAUAACAAAAAUGAAAUAAAUAACUUUAUAGUUAGCAAGCAUGUUACCCAGGCUAGACACUUCUGAGGUGUUUUUUUUAUAAAAAAAAGAUUGAAAUUUCACAGGAAUCGAGGUUUUAUCUGAAUGUAAUAGAAUAUUGGUUGUUUUCAUGUAACGUCCGUGACAUUAAUUGUCCUGCCUAUUUUUCUGUCGCCAAAAAGGAAAUUUCGGAAAUCUCUACUACUCAUGUAAUACAUUAAUGCUGAUCCAUUCAUGUUUUUAAGUAUAGCCAAAUAAAUUGUGUUAAAAUAUUUUUUUCAUAAGGUUUAACAUGGAAAAUUGUGUCUGAAUAUAACGUCCGUGACGGUGGAAUUGCCCAUAUAUGACUUAGGACUAUCGUUUAGAUGAUUUAUUCCUGCCAUACGAAUUUCAUAAUGUAGUUCAGCAUUGUUGAAGAUAUGUGAGCUAAAGCUUUUAAACCAGUCAAAGCCAAUUUGCAGGAUUAUAUUUGCAUGGGUAAACAAAUUUGCUUACCAUUAUCCAUGCCUCCUUUCAGGCUUCAAAAUACGUAGCUUCCUUGGUUAGCAUUUGAAUACACUACAUAAUUAUAUUAGCCAUCAAGUUAAUUCUUUCUUAGUUUAAAUUGUUUUGACAUUUUAUAAGAGAGGUAAGAAGCAUUAACUCUUUGACAAAAAAGUCCAAAGUGGUACUUGAAAUCAAUGGCAAUUUUGUAAAACAUCGAAGUUCUCAGCUUUACAGUUGCAUUAAUCUCUUUUUGGGAAACCUAGAGGGAGCACGGCAACUCUUUUUGCAUGUUUGCAUUUGGCCAAUCGACAUUUCUGUCUGAUCAUUAUCAUUGCUACAAGGCUGACUCAUCAUGGCUUUCAAAGUUUUGUCAUUACCAGUGCAGCAUUCAGCAUCAAGUAUAAGUUGAGAAUCAUCACAUACAGUCAAGGGUUCAUUCAUAACGUGUGGGGAUUUAUUUGUGUUUUGACCCACCUUGGGUUUAUUGUUUGACCACCGUAAUAGGCAUUGGGUUAAUGUGGAUACCCACCAUGGGGUUAGUUUGGAUACCCACGAUGGGGUUAGUUUACUACCUGGUAUGAUAGGCAUUGGGUUAGUUUGUUCACCCACAAUGGGGUUGAUUUGUUUACCCAAAAUAGGGUUGAUUUGUUUGCCUACAAUGGGAUUGAUUUGUUUUCCCGCAAUAGGGUUGAUUUGUUUACCAACAAUGGGGUUGAUUUGUUUACCAACAAUGGGGUUGAUUUGUUCACCCACAAUGGGGUUGAUUUGUUCACCCACAAUGGGGUUGAUUUGUUCACCCACAAUGGGGUUGAUUUGUUCACCCACAAUGGGGUUGAUUUGUUCACCCACAAUGGGGUUGAUUUGUUCACCCACAAUGGGGUUGAUUUGUUUGCCCACAAUGGGGCUGAUUUGUUUGCCCGCAAUGGGGCUGAUUUGAUCGCCCGCAAUGGGGCUGAUUUGAUCGCCCGCAAUGGGGCUGAUUUGAUCGCCCGCAAUGGGGCUGAUUUGAUCGCCCGCAAUGGGGCUGAUUUGAUCGCCCGCAAUGGGGCUGAUUUGAUCGCCCGCAAUGGGGCUGAUUUGAUCGCCCGCAAUGGGGCUGAUUUGAUCGCCCGCAAUGGGGCUGAUUUGAUCGCCCGCAAUGGGGCUGAUUUGAUCGCCCGCAAUGGGGCUGAUUUGUUGCACGAUGUGGUGAAUACGAGGGCAAAUAUCAAAUUUGCUAUUGAUUUAGCAGGAUUUACUCUCCACGCAAAUACGAAAUCCGCGCACAUGUUUGCACGAUGUGGUGAAUACGAGGGCAAAUAUCAAAUUUGCUAUUGAUUUAGCAGGAUUUACUCUCCACGCAAAUACGAAAUCCGCGCACAUGUUUGCACGAUGUGGUGAAUACGAGGGCAAAUAUCAAAUUUGCUAUUGAUUUAGCAGGAUUUACUCUCCACGCAAAUACGAAAUCCGCGCACAUGUUUGCACGAUGUGGUGAAUACGAGGGCAAAUAUCAAAUUUGCUAUUGAUUAAGCAGGAUUUACGCUCGAUGCAAAUAUGAAAUCCGCGCAUGUGUUUGCACGAUGUAGUGAAUACGAGGGCGAAUAUAAAAUUUGCUACGGAUUUAGCGGGAUCGUAUCACAUUAUUGCAUUAUAACAAAUAUCGUAUUUGCAACAGAUUGGUCAGGAUCUACAUGCUUCUUGUGCAAUUGUUCGAGACGGUAAACAUUAGCUAAAUGUAUAUAACAUCCUGACCCAUAAUUUCAAACAAUUUUUCAACAAGUUUUCCUAUUUAAAGAUAAAAAAAUGACAGAUUUUGAGAUAUUGUUUUUGCUUGCCUUUUUGCAUAGCAAAGUUACAAUUCACUUUGAGUUUACAGUAUGAUCUCAUUUUACGAAUAUUUAAUAUCCUGCAUUGUUUUAGGUGUAAUGUCUGAAAAUCUAAAAAAAACCCCUCAUUAUUCAAUAUUUGGUCACAAUGGUAACUCAAAUAGCAACAACUUACAAUAUUUACAAAAAAAGUUCAAUCCUUACUAGUGAAGAUAUAUUCUUCAAUUCAUACCUUUGCACAAACAAAAACUGCCAAAACUAGGAAGAUACUUGUGUAUCUCGGCGUUUAUUGAUACAAUAGGCCAACUUAUCACAUGAUGACGAAGUACUUCCGAUAACGCACAUGAAAUCUCGAUGUGACAAAACUCUAUGAAUGACAAACCUAACUCGUGUUGCUAGCGUUUUAAUUCGAAAAUGAUUAGCAAUUUGUAUUUCUGUGGAUAUUGCAAUGAGACACUCAUACUUGACAAACAUAUCACAAACAUCCACGUAAAUAUUUUGUGGAUUUAUCCAGCAGAGCUUGACUGUAGGCCCAGCUCUGGUCGCGAGGCCAAUUCGGCAGGCAAUGAACAACCAACUUAGAAGGGAAAUCCGACUGUUUAAUUAAUACAAAGCAUUCUGUCCAGUGCUUUGAAUUUCAAAGUGAAGAAAUUCUACCAAGCGUGGGUAAACGGCGGAAGUAACUAUGACUGUCUUUGGGUGAUGUAGCCAGAUUCUCCUUCCAGUGGUAUCCCCUGUGAGUAGCCGUUAGCCGAAACCAACAAAUCUGGCACCGAGAAAUCGUGUAAUUCACACUCGAAAUUCCGAAGCGCAAUUAUUACACCUACCCAAGGAGCGAACUAACAGAAUGUGCCUUAGUCGUGAAACCUUGGAAGAUCUCAGAAUAACUGGUAAGAAGUGUAGACAUUCUGUGAAAUUUAAUUAGUCUAUGGUGUUCUUCUUAAUAAUAAUUUAUACAAUGAUUGAAUAGUACAGAUCAUAAAGAUCAUGCGAUGAGGCAGCAUAAGGUCAUUUUAGGAGAAUUUGUGCAUCAUCAGUAAACAAACAAAAACACCUUGGUUUUCAGAACUCAAUGAAGGCACGCAAAUAAUAUUUUAUUCUAAAGCCCCAUUUCAGGGAGCAUGCUUCCAUGUUAGAUGAGCUAGAGAACAUGUUUGGGAAGAUCCUUCUCAAGAACCAGGAGUUAAAUUCCUACUGAGUGAAAAGUUCUGCCAGGACCCACUAGGGAAAUAUUUUGCAAAGCAAAGGAGGUGUGGUGGUGCGAGCGACAAUCCAACAUAUGCUCAGUUCAGGCAAAACUACCUAGCCUUGCAUGUUACAAAUUCUGCUGUUAUGGCUUCUGACAAAGGAAUCUGCAGAGGGAACAGAGACUUGCAACGAAGGAAGAGACUCCAGCCUUCAGACAGCAACCCUUUGCCAAGGAAGCGUCGACUCCCCUUUGAGUAGUCAAUAAGCACAAAGUGUUUUCUUAGAUCAGAUCAUUUUGCAAUUCUAACAUUCUUUCAACCGUUAUCUGGAAUUCAUUCAUAUCAUUAAGCUUACAAUAACAAUUAAAAAAAGAUAGUGGAAAAAUAUCUGCAAGUAGCGUACAUUUUUUGGUAACAAAUGUUUGUAAAUAAUCAUGUUUGAAUAACCAGCUGGAAUAAUGUUAGAUUGAAUUUUAAUAUAAACAACUAUAACCUAUCUGACGGAGUUAAAGACUUCGCUAACAUGCACAAACACCAGGUUGAGCGGCCUGAGAUCACGUUUUGCCGAAUCAAUAAUCGCACGUAGCGUUAAUACAUGCUGGGCAAUACUGUUACCUCCUUUAAACCCCUUCUGGGCUUCGAUCGUAUUAACUGAGGUGUUGAGCCUGGUGGCCAUAAUCUUAUGGAAUAAACGGAUUACCGCCAACGCGAUGAUCAACGGCCGAUGGUGCAAUUCCGUUUCAGGGACAGUUUCCUUAGGCAGAAAGAUUGUUCGUUCUGGGCAGAGUUGUUCCAGUUGUGUACCGGUCAACAGCCAGAGAUUGAACUGGCUCCUGAGUUUCCCCAAACCCAGCUUACAAACGUCACCUGAAUCAAAUUUUGUGCAUCUUACAUUUUUUUCCCUUUCAUAGUCCUAUGCCACUAUAUUGGUAUAAUUUGAUAUAUAGCUAACCUGGAUGAACUUACCCCUCCUUUGAUACAGGGAGCCAGAGAGGAGAAAGAGCUUAGAGAAAAAAAAUGUCUUAUAAUUUACCUGAGCAGCUAGGUUGACCCUCAUACCUAAAAAUCUGUUGAGAUACACAUGCUCAUGCGUCAACUUAGGAAUCAGCCUCAGUCAUGGGGCAUUACGGUUGAUGCCAACAUCCCGUUCGUUGGGCACUUGUAAACCCUACUGAACUAUAGUGUGCAAAAGGAAACUUAAGGCUUGAAAACAGCCCUCUAACCAUCAAUACCAUCACAUGGGUAGCUUUCUGAGGCUCGUGUAAACUGUCAUAAUAAUAAUAUAAUUAAUAACAUUUAUAUAGUGCUUAUACAUCGCUGUUCAAAGCGCUUCACAAUUCAAAAUAAUAUUUUUAAAAAGUCUAAAAAUCUAAUCUAAAUCUGAAUCUACUGGCGUAUCGAUUUAUAAAUAAAUCAAUUACUAAAUUGAUAAAUUACAGGCUAAGUAGCAAAAUAAAGUUAAAUAAAUAAAUAACAAACUUGUGUACAUUUAUUAGAUAUCAUAAGUUUGAAUACCAACAUCAUCAAUGAGUAAGUGGAUGGGGAAAUCUGUCAUAGGGAAAGGCACCACUUGAUCAUCAGAGGGUGCCAUCACCUCCCUCUCGCAUCCUACAAAGAUGCCAUAUUUUUUGUUCCCAGAAAAGGGACUUAAUACCUUCCCUUAUGCAAAACUUCAGCAUGACAGUAGUUUGUAAUUAACACAAGUUAUCACUCUAGUUUUCAUUUCAAAAGCCAGACCUAGUAGUAUUUACUGUAUGGGAACAGGAAUUCAACAUGCGAACUGCAAACUUAAAAACUUCAUCUGUGAAUAGCCCAAUUUGGGGCAUCAACGGGUGCGAGUCUGGCCGAAAUAGCACCCUCUCUGCGCUGAAUUAGCAUACUCUGGCCUUUCUGGCCCCUGCGCCGCUUUACCCUCCUGUCAAGGGCAUCCAUGAGGCCAUUUCCAUGAGGCCAUUUCCGGCUCCGCCAUGGUAGGGUGGCUUUUACCAAAACCGUUGGCCCCGAUGGCUCCUCAUCACUGCCUGAUGGAUCAGUGUUGUCAUCUUCCUGGUCUGUCGCAGUGUGUUCAGACGACAGAUAGUCCAAUGACAACACUGAUCCAUACUUUGAUUUAAGCUCUGCAGUGUAGCUGGUUGACUCCUCUAAUGCUCUUUUCCGCAUGUUUUUUUUUCUACAAAAGAUAAGAGGAAAAAAAGGACAAAAUAGUUUAGUAAUGAGGAUAAAUAAGAGACAUGAAUGGCUGCUUUUAUAUCUUUACACAAAUAGGAGUCUUGUUUUAACACCAAAGCAAGAGGAAAGGACAAUCAAUUGUAGAUGUGUGUGUAAAACUGGGUUUGAAAAUUGGCGAAUAUUAAAUUGAUAAUAGCUUACAAGAUCAUCAUCGUAAACAAUACCACACUAUAGCAACUUGACAUAAGGAACGGCUUGAAUUUCAUUUUCUUAUAGUAUAAAAUUUUGAGAGUUUUACAAUGGUCCUAUAUUUUGUGAGUAUCGAAUCUCAUGAUAAAAUAGAACAAUCUAAGUGAGAAUAAGGUACUGUAUUUAGGCCAUGUAAGAUGUUCAACAGGAAGAGUCAAUCAAAAAAAAAGUUUCAAUUAAAGCGUAAUUUACAAGUGUGGCUAUUGUCUUCAACCUCUGAAAAAAUAACUUCUCUUGUAAAUUUAGCUUGUUGAAGUUUAUUGAGUAGUCCUAACUUACUGUGUUCAGCCUGCUCCUUUUUCUUUGACGCAUCAAGAAUUCCUCUUGUUUUUUGUUAGCACGAUUGGUUUAUUCCCUCUUCUUUGUUCGAAAAUGAACACGCAUUGCAGCUGAAAUAAAAGACCAUGAUAAAGGUGAAAUUCCAACAAGCUGUGAAGCUUACCAAUAAAUACAGAACGACAGGGUGAAAGAGAGCGCUUGGAAGGGAAAGAAGACUGAUUCAGCAAAACUUUGUUCAUACGUCCUUGUGCGCUAACAUAUGCAAGUAAUAUUCGUACAAGUCGGUCAUAUGGACCCUAACAUUCCCAGGUAAGGAGACGAAUUUAAAUGCACAUUGAGUUGUUCCCAGGUUAAUGUAAAUACCUUUAAUUGUAGUUGAUGAUGUCUAAUUAUCUGUGCUCCUGACACCUUCAAACAAUGCUCUGUUGAUUGCUUGGUUUGCUUGAUCAUCAAAACUAAAAUAGAGUAUGGAUCAUAUUUAAGUUGAUCUUUAUCAAAGUGCAUAUCACCCCUGAGAUGAGAACAAUCUGAGAGCCAGUUAAGCUUGAAUGAACCUCUAUACUGUUGAUUCUAAUUUGAUAGUAUCAUUCACUGGCUAAACUAUAGAAUCCAAGGCCAAUUGUCCUCUCAUUUGCAUUUCAAUUGUAUUACUGUCUCGUUUUAUAGAAAUCGAGGUGUAAAGUCCCGCCACUGGCCUUGUAUUCUAUAGUUGCUCCAUCUAUGGGAUUUUGUUGGGUAGAUAAGAGGGGCUUGAAUUAUAACAAGUUUACAAAAAUUUACAAAAACUUUCUUACCAUUUAGCAUCUUAAUAAUUUCUCUUCAGAAAUGUUUAUAAAUUUUCGCUUUAAAAUGUUUGUUUUUAGAAUGACCGUUUCCUUUUUAAAGAAAAAUCCACCAAAACAGGCCAGGCAUUCUUAAAAUGAGGUAUAAUACAGAGUAUCAAGAAUUAAGUUAAGUUAAAAAUAAUGUAAACAAAGUCUUACCGACUUCAGAUUGACCGCCGUCAUGUCGAGCUUUUCGUGCUUGGAUUUGAUCUCUUCUUUGUUGUACUGAAAGGCCUUUUCACCUCCCUUGUUUCGAUGGCUUAACCAUUAUUAUAAUGAUCGAGCUGCACUUGUAUUACAAAAGGAUAUUUAUAAGUUGAAAGGAACCACAAAAUUCCUGUAUUUUUAGGAGAAAAAAAAUUUCGGAAAGCUAAUCAUAGUACUCGCUACGACCAGUGCAUGAAGUUUCUGUUGAGAGCAAAGUUUGAGCGCCGAGCUGAAGCACCCAUAUGUGAUAAGCAGCAAAUGCCGAAGGAUGCUCAUUGGUCAAAAAGUAAUUUUCACGUGAACAACUGGUGCACACGUACCAGGAAUCAGUGACUUUGAUAUAAUAGUACAGCGGUCUUUCUAUGCAGAUAAGGUUUCAAAAUGGCAGACUCCAGCAAGAAAAGAAGGUUUUGCGAGCAUUGUGGUGAAUAUUUAAACAUAAGAACUUACCGACGACACCUUGUUUUACCCCCUGCCUAACGCUUCGCGGCUGGCUCCCACGUCCACCGAGCUGCAAAAUGGUGGUAGAUCUACUGUACAGGUGAAACAUGUAUGACAGUACCGGCGGCGGUAUUCCAAGUCGCCUCAGAGCUAGAAGAAUGGUCUUAUGGCUGACGGAGUCAAAGACUUCGCUAACAUCCACAAACACCAGGUUGAGCGGCCUGAGAUCACGUUUUGCCGAAUCAAUAAUCGCACGUAGCGUUAAUACAUGCUGGGCAAUACUGUCACCUCCUUUAAACCCUUCUGGGCUUCGAUCGUAUUAACUGAGGUGUUGAGCCUGGUGGCCAUAAUCUUAUGGAAUAAACGGAUUACCGCCAACGCGAUGAUCAGCGGCCGAUGGUGCAAUUCCGUUUCAGGGACAGUUUCCUUAGGCAGAAAGAUUGUUCGUCCUGAGCAGAGUUGUUCCAGUUGUGUACCGGUCAACAGCCAGAGAUUGAAGUGGCUCCUGAGUUUCCCCAAACCCAGCUUACAAACGUCACCUGAAUUAAAUUUUGCGCAUCUUACAUUUUUUCCCCUUUCAUAGUUCUAUGCCACUAUAUUGGUAUAAUUUGAUAUAUAGCUAACCUGGAUGAACUUACCCCUCCUUUGAUACAGGGAGCCAGAGAGGAGAAAGAGCUUAGAGAAAAAAAAUGUCUUAUAAUUUACCUGAGCAGCUAGGUUGACCCUCAUACCUAAAAAUCUGUUGAGAUACACAUGCUCAUGCGUCAACUUAGGAAUCAGCCUCAGUCAUGGGGCAUUACGGUUGAUGCCAACAUCCCGUUCGUUGGGCACUUGUAAACCCUACUGAACUAUAGUGUGCAAAAGGAAACUUAAGGCUUGAAAACAGCCCUCUAACCAUCAAUACCAUCACAUGGGUAGCUUUCUGAGGCUCGUGUAAACUGUCAUAAUAAUAAUAUAAUAAAUAACAUUUAUAUAGCGCUUAUACAUCGCUGAAAAGAAGGUUUUGCGAGCAUUGUGGUGAAUAUUUAAACAUAAGAACUUACCGACGACAUUUUCAGCUGUAUUUCGAUAGCGCCAACAAGAGAUGGGGAAAGAAACUUUUAUGCGAUGAUUUGUCAGAGGAUGAACUCCCCGAACUUCCCAGUCGAAAGGACUCAUCUCACUCUCCUCAUCAUGACCCCCACUCAGACUCCGUAGAAUUUCACCAAAGCUACGAUGGGGAAGGUACGAUACAUUACGUACUAUAAUGGUUAGGAUCAAGAUGAGAGUGCGAGAAACCACUAAAACUUAUUUUUUAUUAUAGUCCCAUCUUUGAGCAGUUUGAGAUGAUAUGGUUUGAAGUGUAUAUCACAGCAAAAUACACUCUGUUUGUUUUAUAUGAACCUUUUUUUAUAAGAAUAUCCAGGCUGAGAUUUUACCAAUUUGUAACAACAUAAUAAGAUCAUGCCGAGGCUCAAAUAAAUAAAUGCUGAAUAAAUGUUGUUAAUCAUUUGUGAAAUUAUCUUUAUAAUACUUCAUCGUAUUACUCUUAUAUACACUAGCUUGUGUAAUUUUUGGCGUAUUUCAGGUUAUGACACCACGAAAAUUUAAGAACGUUGUAAUAACAUGUUCAGCCUCAUGAUGCUAAAAAAAAGAAUGCCUCAGCCUCAACUGAAAAUUAUAUGUUCUUAUUUAAAACAAAAAGAGUGUUACCCGCGUUAUGCAUGGGAUAUGUUUUGUACUAAACAAACAUGCACAACAUAAAGAAUAUAUAGUGAGAUUUUAGUGAAAUUGAACAUGAAACAUGUGCUAUAUAUCUGAUUGGAGAUUUUCUGUUGUGAACCAAUCAAAGGAAGAAAGAGCAAUUGUUUUUGCUUGACUUUGCUUCACAAGGUUUCCCUAAUUAGAUUUGCCUAAUAAGCCAUAAUACACAUACUAACGAAUCCUAAAACUCAAAUAUGACAAAAAUGCUAGGCAGCAUUUGUGUAACUAGUCUCCUGCGGAGCCGUCCUUAGUGUCAGUCUCGAAUCCCUUCCCACGAACGGCUGCUUACUUUCGAACCAAAUGCCGUUGCUAUUGUCUCGCAUGUCUCGCACAGACUUAACAACCGAUAUCUAAGUGACCAAUCAUGGUGCUCUAAAAUGACAGUCAUUGUCAUGGCUAAGCCAAUCACUAGUAAAAGCUAUGUCAACAGAAAUGUUUUCGCGGGAGCGUAUAUUCGUGGACCACACGUGAGAUUUUUCUAGUGAGAUUUCUGCAAGCUAUGUUUUCGCCUUUAUCUAUUAACAAUUGCGCCGAUUAAAAACCCAGAUGGAGAGCUAGACGUGGAUCUUUGUUUUGUUUGUUCAGUUGCCGUCCAUAUAAAAGAAAAAACCUACGUGUUUGGAAAAACGUCAAUCGAUUUUUUUGCGAUAAUUGACGACGCCCUUGAUGUGGAUGUGAGAAAAUUCUCGCCGCAAACGAAGGAUUCACUCUUCAUAUGCCAAGCUAACUGCUACAAGAAGCUUACGAAAUUCGAAUGUGUGAGUGAGUGCUUGAGGUGAAAAGAGAGCUGGAAACAGCAUUUAAGAGCGGAUCGCUUAAACGAAGAAACAAGGACGACGAUAACAAGGUCGGGGACUUUCUCGCACCUCGUGAGAAGGCCGCGAAGGCGCUUCAAUACCUGACUACCACUUGUACUUCUUAGCUUGGUUCUACUACGUCCAGUCUUCUAGCCGUACACGAAGCACAACACUUGAACUACUCUCUACAGCCGUUAUUGUCUCCGAUCCAGAGCGAGUCCAAUCGCGAGCUUUCUCUCCGUUCAGAUGAACUUACACUUUAACAGAACCUGUUUCAUGUCGCGGGGUUGAAGUAGCGAAAGGAAUCGGAUUAAGUAUCAGUUAAAUAUUCCAGCAAGCCUUUUAAUAAAUAUCAUCAAGGGAGCUACCAGGCUAUAGGAAAGGCCCUUGUUCAUAUGGUCCCUUCGCGGAUUUCUCAUGCUGUUAUGAACUGUCCACCUGUGCGAAAGUACAUUCUUGUCAAAAUUUUGGGCAUUCUAAAAAAAAAAUGGGAAUGGGACUUUGUUCGAAAAACAAUCCUUCAAUACUGAGAAAGUCGGGGAAAGAAGACUUAUGAAAGUUCGAUUUGGAGAACGUGUGUAAAGAAUGGAGAGCCAGAGCACCGUUAUUUUACUACUCCAUGCUGACUUCAGCAACGAACAAACGAACAAGGGCGUCUACUUGGUUCGGAAGUGUCGCCAUCGCCGGAUCCGUCCUAUUGAAGCAAAGGAGCGAGAAAAUGUAUGCCACAGGCUCAGUUCUUGGGAUUGUCAUGAAGACCAAAUCAACAGAGGCAACAAUAUCAAGGUUCAACAAACUGAAGUUGACCAAUUCCAACGUCAGCCUUCUCAAAAAGCUAGACGCUCUCGGUGUUGACCAUGAUGUUUAUCUACAUGAGAUUAGGGGAAAAUAACCAAAGAUAACAGCAUCCUGGAUGAAGCCAAAGAAAAGUGUGAGAACCUGGUUCAACUCCACUCCUUUCAUGAUACCUGUGGUCCUCCAUGUCACAAGGAAGUGAAUGAUGCAAAGGCAGAAGUCCUCAAGUUGAAAAAGGCUGCCCAUCCUGUUCUUUUGGAAUAAAAUCAAUAUCUGUGAUUCCAGAUAAGAAUCAGCCCCAUGGCCCUAUUAAACCCCUACCCCAACAAAGAAAACUGAAAAUUCUCUGGGAAGCUUCAGUGCUGAUUUGCAGGGGAUUAAAAAUAAAGAUAUAUGUCGCAGAGCCGUAGCAGAACCGUAGCAGAACAUGUAAGAUUUGGGGGGAGGGCACAAUACAGAAACAUUAAGAAAAUAUUUAGGAGGGCACAGACACACCCCUUCUGGUCAUUUCCUUAUAAUUUGUUACAAUAUUGGGAGGGGGGCACAUACCCCCAGUGCCCCACCCC